rnacentral:rRNA from 1 species
GACGAACGCUGGCGGCGCGCUUAACACAUGCAAGUCGAGCGAUGAAAUUUCGACAGGUCCCUUCGGGGUGAAGAUGAAAUGGAUUAGCGGCGGACGGGUGAGUAACACGUGAGUAACCUGCCUUUGACAUUGGGAUAGCCUCGGGAAACUGGGAUUAAUACCAAAUGACACUAACUGAUCACAUGAUCAAUUAGUCAAAGAAAUUCGGUCAAAGAUGGACUCGCGGCUGAUUAGCUAGUUGGUGAGGUAACGGCCCACCAAGGCGACGAUCAGUAGCCGGCCUGAGAGGGUGAUCGGCCACAUUGGAACUGAGACACGGUCCAAACUCCUACGGGAGGCAGCAGUGGGGAAUAUUGCACAAUGGGCGAAACCCUGAUGCAGCGACGCCGCGUGAGCGAAGAAGGCCUUCGGGUCGUAAAGCUCUUUUAUGAGCGAAGAUAAUGACGGUACCUCAAGAAAAAGCCCCGGCUAACUACGUG